rnacentral:rRNA from 1 species
UACGUAGGGUGCAAGCGUUAAUCGGAAUUACUGGGCGUAAAGCGUGCGCAGGCGGUUUUGUAAGUCUGUCGUGAAAGCCCCGGGCUCAACCUGGGAAUGGCAAUGGAUACUGGCAGGCUAGAGUGCGGUAGAGGGUAGUGGAAUUCCCGGUGUAGCGGUGAAAUGCGUAGAGAUCGGGAGGAACACCAGUGGCGAAGGCGGCUACCUGGACAAUUGCUGACGCUCAGGCACGAAAGCGUGGGGAGCAAAAGGG